rnacentral:rRNA from 1 species
AACGAACGCUGGCGGCAGGCUUAACACAUGCAAGUCGAACGCGCCCUUCGGGGCGAGUGGCAGACGGGUGAGUAACGCGUGGGAACCUACCUUUUGGUACGGAAUAACUCUGGGAAACUUGAGCUAAUACCGUAUGUGCCCUUCGGGGGAAAGAUUUAUCGCCAAAGGAUGGGCCCGCGUCGGAUUAGCUAGUUGGUAGGGUAACGGCCUACCAAGGCGACGAUCCGUAGCUGGUCUGAGAGGAUGAUCAGCCACACUGGGACUGAGACACGGCCCAGACUCCUACGGGAGGCAGCAGUGGGGAAUAUUGGACAAUGGGGGCAACCCUGAUCCAGCCAUGCCGCGUGAGUGAUGAAGGCCUUAGGGUUGUAAAGCUCUUUCGCCGGUGAAGAUAAUGACGGUAACCGGAGAAGAAGCCCCGGCUAACUUCGUGCCAGCAGCCGCAGUAA